AUGGAGUAUUCUAAACGCGUAGGA
rnacentral:snRNA from 1 species